AAAAGUUUCUGGUAACAAUGAUCUUAUUCCUGUAUGCACAAUUACGCUUAAGGUGUGACUGCAUUGAAAUCCUCUGCAAAGCACAUGUAACCUGUACCGUAAAGAUGGAUUGUAUAGCGUGAGAGCCUAGGGUCUGUGUGUCCAUAUAGAUAGUAUAAGACGUCACCAGGCUCUAAAGUACACGUGACACUCCUCUAAGAAUGGCUUCAGUUGACAGAGAAGCAAUGCUCAAAAUAGAAGUCAAAGUUAAAGGGAGGAAGAAUUUGAGAAAAACAUUAAUUGUCUGAGGGAUUUAGAUGUGGCCUAGCGCUGCAUAUAGCAGAUUACCAGGCUAUUAACAAUGUGCAUAUCCAGCCUCCUCGAUAGAAAACAGGUAUACACAUUCCUUCCCUUAAAGAGACAAGCUUCCAUCCUAAACUAACAUUCCUGGGUUCCCCAGUACUUCUCUGUGGUGCCCUCUACAUCUGAACUUGACGAGCCUGCCCAUAGGAUGGAACAUGUCAGGCCCUCGACCAUCCUAUAACUGACUGAGUUUCUCCAAGAUGGAGGUUUCAGCUGGGAGGAAGGUGUUAUAGCAAUAGUACUAUACAGUGUGCACAGAUCACCUGCCCUUUUGGGUUUAGACAUUUAAACUGUCCUUCUGACUCUAGAGUCAGUGCUUAAUUGCCAGCUGUGUGUAAGAUGCAAUACAGAAAGUAUAGACUCCUGGGCUGGCAAGGUGGCUCAGUGUGUAAAGGCACUUGCUGCCAAGCUUAGCAAACUGAGUUCGAAACCUGAAACCUACAUGGUAGAGGACAACUAACUCCCACAAGUUAAAUUCUUUGUUGUCCAUAUACAUGCCAUCACACAUGCAUGUCCAAUCACACACAACACACAUGUACAAAUGAACAAGUAAGUAAAUGUAAAAAUAUUUUACAUUAAAAAAAGAAAGUAUAGAAUAUCCUUGGCCAACAAGAUGGCUCAGGAGGCAAUGGAACUUGUCUUUAAGCCGGACCUGAGUUUGAUUCCUGAGACCCACAUAGUAGAAAAAAAGACCUGACUUGUGCAAAUUAUCCUCUGACUUUUAUGUAUGUACCAUACCAUGCACAGAUACACACACACCAUACACACACAGAGUGGUUUUUUUUUUUUUUAAACCAACCUCUUAAAUUGCAAAAAGUACACAGAGCCCUAAAUAUUAGCUUGGUAUUUUGGGCUCCCUUAUCUACUAAACCUGUACUUUGAAAAUGUCAUCAUCGGGGCUGGUGAGAUGGCUCAGUGGGUAAGAGCACCCGACUGCUCUUCCGAAGGUCCGGAGUUCAAAUCCCAGCAACCACAUGGUGGCUCACAACAACCAUCUGUAACAAGAUCUGACACCCUCUUCUGGAGUGUCUUACAGUGUACUUACAUAUAAUAAAUAAAUAAAUCU
rnacentral:lncRNA from 1 species